CGUCGAGCGGCGGACGGGUGAGUAAUGCUUGGGAAUAUGCCUUAUGGUGGGGGACAACAGUUGGAAACGACUGCUAAUACCGCAUGAUGUCUACGGACCAAAGUGGGGGACCUUCGGGCCUCACGCCAUAAGAUUAGCCCAAGUGGGAUUAGCUAGUUGGUGAGGUAAUGGCUCACCAAGGCGACGAUCCCUAGCUGGUUUGAGAGGAUGAUCAGCCACACUGGGACUGAGACACGGCCCAGACUCCUACGGGAGGCAGCAGUGGGGAAUAUUGCACAAUGGGCGCAAGCCUGAUGCAGCCAUGCCGCGUGUGUGAAGAAGGCCUUCGGGUUGUAAAGCACUUUCAGUAAGGAGGAAAGGUUAAGUGUUAAUAGCACUUAGCUGUGACGUUACUUACAGAAGAAGCACCGGCUAACUCCGUGCCAGCAGCCGCGGUAAUACGGAGGGUGCGAGCGUUAAUCG
rnacentral:rRNA from 1 species